rnacentral:rRNA from 1 species
GACGAACGCUGGCGGCGUGCUUAACACAUGCACGUCGAACGAAGUGGCGAACGGGUGAGUAACGCGUAAUCCACCUGCCCUUCAGAGGGGUACAACAGUUGGAAACGACUGCUCAUACCGCAUACUGAAGGAGGGGAUUGCGUCUGAUUAGCUAGUUGGAGGGGUAACGGACCACCAAGGCGAUGAUCAGUAGCCGGUCGGAGAGGAUGAACGGCCACAUUGGGACUGAGACACGGCCAAGACUCCUACGGGAGGCAGCAGGGGGGAAUUUUCCGCAAUGGACGAAAGUCUGACGGAGCAACGCAGCGUGAGUGAUGACGGCCUUCGGGUUGUAAAGCUCUGUUAAUCGGGACGCGGUACCGAAAUAGAAAGCCACGGCUAACUACGUGCCAGCCGCCGCGGUAAUUC